AAUGUUUGAUUUAAUGCUUAGAAAUUCACAACCCAACAUCAUUCUGUGAAUGAAUUUAGUAGAUUUUGGAUCAACUCACAGCAGAACUGAAUUCCAGACUCUUAUUUUUUAGCACAGCAAAGAGUAUUUAUUCUAUGAUGUCCAGGAUUAUUUAUUUGCAUUUUUAACACGGCAAUGCUACUAUAGUAGUUCGUUUGCAUAUUUGUAGUUCAAAUGAAUGAAGAAACAUCCCAUCUUUUUAUUGCCUUGUAGGAAAGAAAAAAAAACUAAUCUCCUUUUGAAUGCCUCUCUUUUCUCCUUUGACCCAUAACGUUUUCCCCUUCCAAAAUGCUACAACCCCUAUGUGAACUAUUGGUUGUGGUGCGUUCACUGUCACUGCUGCAUUCAGAGCUUUACGACCUGCAGGUUACCUGAACUUUCCACCUCAAAUCAUUAAAAGGAUAGCCAAGAGUCAAUAGUGAUUUAAGUAUAUGACAGCACGAGUUUAAAUUCCAAAUAUACAACAUUUUAAUCCGAUCAUUUCUAAAAUAUGCUGAUAAAAUUCUAUUUUUCUGACGUAAGCGAACGCGACAUCAGUCUGACGGUCACCCUUUCAUUCUGUGACCCUUCACCUACAUUGCUCUCCUGUAUAAUGACAGCCGUAAAAAUGACCAAACAUAAGACUGAAACUAAUAAAUAUUAUAUUUUGAUUGACUGAAACAGCCAUUUCAACCCAACUGUAAAUAUUUAGGUGAAAUAACUAAAGACUGCCGUGUCGCUGCGUGCUGCAGGGGAGCUAGCAUACAGGCUAUAUAUCAUGUCAGACGGCUUCGGUAACUCACAACACAGCCAGCACUCCCGUCAGCCGCUGGCUCAGGAUGAUGUGGCAGUUAUAGGACUCCAGCUGCCAAAAGUGUGUGUUUGUGGGAGACGUAUGCACAUACGGGGCGUCACACAUUAUGUUUAUGACAGUCCUGACUGCCUGUCUGUGUCUCAGCCUUCACGCUGACGCCUGUGAUUAAUCAGGAUGCGAGCACGUUUCCAUGUGGAUGCAGCAGAGCCAGCAGGAGGUGAUGGAGAUGCAGGAACGGGAUCCUGCAUACAACCAAAUAAGAAAAUGCUUCUGCUUUUGCAAAACUACAACCACUAACCCAAGAACACCAGUGCAACAUGUUGUGUAAAGUAAUAUGGAAGAAUACUUUAUAAAUUAUUACCGCUUC